rnacentral:lncRNA from 1 species
UCCACGAGUCCUCUAGUAGCAGAAGUAGCCGCCCCCUCGAAUGCUUCGGCAGGAUUCAACGCUGUGUAAGCUGGGCAGCUUGACGAGCGUGCUUGCCUGCUACCCUGCUUCAUCUCGAGUGCCUUUCGCUGUCGGGCAAUCUCCACACCUCAAGGAGUUUUAGGUGAUGGGUUGGACGGAGUAAGAGCAACUGCACUUAGAAUGCGAGCCAACGAUGCCCGCUGAGAUUUUUCCUCCUGGGCGGCUGAACUGUUGUCAAUAGACAUUCCAAUAACCCCACCAUCAUCGAGUGCCGCAUCA